AUUGAACGCUGGCGGCAUGCCUUACACAUGCAAGUCGAACGGCAGCACGGGGGCAACCCUGGUGGCGAGUGGCGAACGGGUGAGUAACGCAUCGGAACGUGCCCAGUAGUGGGGGAUAACCAGUCGAAAGAUUGUCUAAUACCGCAUACGACCUACGGGUGAAAGCGGGGGACCGUAAGGCCUCGCGCUAUUGGAGCGGCCGAUGUCCGAUUAGCUAGUUGGUGGGGUAAAGGCCCACCAAGGCGACGAACGGUAGCUGGUCUGAGAGGACGACCAGCCACACUGGGACUGAGACACGGCCCAGACUCCUACGGGAGGCAGCAGUGGGGAAUUUUGGACAAUGGGCGCAAGCCUGAUCCAGCCAUGCCGCGUGCGGGAAGAAGGCCUUCGGGUUGUAAACCGCUUUUGGCAGGAACGAAACGGCGCGAGCGAAUACCUCGCGCUAAUGACGGUACCUGCAGAAUAAGCACCGGCUAACUACGUGCCAGCCGCCGCCGUAACAC
rnacentral:rRNA from 1 species